rnacentral:rRNA from 1 species
AGUGAAUAGAUACCCUGGUAGUCCUGGCAGUAAACGGUGCGCGUUUGGUGUGGGAGGAUUCGACCCCUUCUGUGCCGGAGCUAAACGCGUUAAACGCGCCGCCUGGGGAGUACGGUCGCAAGAUUAAAACUCAAAGAAAUUGACGGGGGCCCGCACAAGCGGUGGAGUAUGUGGCUUAAUUCGAUGCAACGCGAAGAACCUUACCUAGCCUUGACAUGCAUCUCUAAGUCGGUGAAAGCCGGCGAGUGUAGCAAUACACAAUUUGCACAGGUGCUGCAUGGCUGUCGUCAGCUCGUGUCGUGAGAUGUUGGGUUUAAGUCCCGCAACGAGCGCAACCCCUGUGAACUGUUGCCACCUACAUUCGUGUAGAGCACUCUGUUCAGACUGCCCUGUGAAACGGGGAGGAAGGUGGGGAUGACGUCAAGUCAGCAUGGCCCUUACGGCUAGGGCUGCACACGUACUACAAUGCUCAGUACAGAAUGAACCG